UUGAACGCUGGCGGCAUGCCUUACACAUGCAAGUCGAACGGCAGCACGGGUGCUUGCACCUGGUGGCGAGUGGCGAACGGGUGAGUAAUACAUCGGAACAUGUCCUGUAGUGGGGGAUAGCCCGGCGAAAGCCGGAUUAAUACCGCAUUCGAUCUACGGAUGAAAGCGGGGGACCUUCGGGCCUCGCGCUAUAGGGUUGGCCGAUGGCUGAUUAGCUAGUUGGUGGGGUAAAGGCCUACCAAGGCGACGAUCAGUAGCUGGUCUGAGAGGACGACCAGCCACACUGGGACUGAGACACGGCCCAGACUCCUACGGGAGGCAGCAGUGGGGAAUUUUGGACAAUGGGCGAAAGCCUGAUCCAGCAAUGCCGCGUGUGUGAAGAAGGCCUUCGGGUUGUAAAGCACUUUUGUCCGGAAAGAAAUCCUUGGCCCUAAUACGGUCGGGGGAUGACGGUACCGGAAGAAUAAGCACCGGCUAACUACGUG
rnacentral:rRNA from 1 species